UACGGAGGAUGCAAGCGUUAUCCGGAAUGAUUGGGCGUAAAGGGUCCGCAGGUGGCAGUGUAAAUCUGCUGUCAAAGAAUGAGGCUUAACCUUAUCAAGGCAGUGGAAACUACACAGCUAGAGUACGGUCGGGGUAGAAGGAAUUCCUGGUGUAGCGGUGAAAUGCGUAGAGAUCAGGAAGAACACCGGUGGCGAAAGCGUUCUGCUAGACCUGUACUGACACUGAGGGACGAAAGCUAGGGGAGCGAAUGGG
rnacentral:rRNA from 1 species